rnacentral:rRNA from 1 species
UACGUAGGGGGCGAGCGUUGUCCGGAUUUACUGGGCGUAAAGGGUGAGUAGGCGGUAAUAUGUGUCAGAUGUAAAAGGCUAUGGCUUAACCAUAGUUGGCAUUUGAAACUGUAUUACUUGAGUGCAGGAGAGGUAAGUGGAAUUCCUAGUGUAGCGGUGAAAUGCGUAGAUAUUAGGAGGAACACCAGUGGCGAAGGCGACUUACUGGACUGUAACUGACGCUGAGUCACGAAAGCGUGGGUAGCAAACAGGAUUAGAUACCCUGGUAGUCCACGCUGUAAACGAUGAGUGCUAGGUGUUGGGUAGCGAUAUUCAGUGCCGAAGUUAACACAAUAAGCACUCCGCCUGGGGAGUACGGUCGCAAGACUGAA